UGUGAAUCAUCGAAUCUUUAGAACGCACAUUGCGCCCUAUGGUAUUCCAUAGGGCAUGCCUGUUUGAGCGUCAUUUCUCUCUCAAAUCUUCGGAUUUGGUUUUGAGUGAUACUCUUAGUCAGACUAAGCGUUUGCUUGAAAUGUAUUGGCAUGAGUGGUACUAGAUAGUGCUGAACUGUUUCAAUGUAUUAGGUUUAUCCAACUCGUUGACCAGUAUAGUAUUCGUUUAUUACACAGGCUCGGCCUUACAACAACAAACAAAGUAAGCCUCAAGUCAGGUAGGGCAGCCGGUGAUCUAAGGUGAUCAAUAAGCAGAGGAUC
rnacentral:rRNA from 1 species